GAUGAAGAACGCAGUGAAAUGCGAUACGUAAUGUGAAUUGCAAAUUCAGUGAAUCAUCGAGUCUUUGAACGCACAUUGCGCCCCCUGGUAUUCCGGGGGGCAUGCCUGUCCGAGCGUCAUUGCUGCCCUCAAGCACGGCUUGUGUGUUGGGCCCCGUCCUCCGAUCCCGGGGGACGGGCCCGAAAGGCAGAGGCGGCACCGCGUCCGGUCCUCGAGCGUAUGGGGCUUUGUCACCCGCUCUGUAGGCCCGGCCGGCGCUUGCCGAUCAACCCAAAUUUUUAUCCAGGUUGACCUCGGAUCAGGUAGGGAUACCCGCUGAACUUAAGCAUAUCAAUAAGCGGAGGA
rnacentral:misc_RNA from 1 species